AUGGCUCAGAUUGAACGCUGGCGGCAGGCCUAACACAUGCAAGUCGAACGGUAACAGGAAAAAGCUUGCUUUUUCGCUGACGAGUGGCGCACGGGUGCGUAACGCGUAUACAAUCUGCCUCUUACUGGGGAAUAGCCUUUGGAAACGAAGAAUAAUACCCCAUGGUAUCUAGAUUUCGCAUGAAAUUUGGAUUAAAGCUUCGGCGGUAAGAGAUGAGUAUGCGUUCUAUUAGCUAGAUGGUGUGGUAACGGCACACCAUGGCAACGAUAGAUAGGGGCCCUGAGAGGGGGAUCCCCCACACUGGUACUGAGACACGGACCAGACUCCUACGGGAGGCAGCAGUGAGGAAUAUUGGACAAUGGGCGAAAGCCUGAUCCAGCCAUGCCGCGUGCAGGAAGACUGCCCUAUGGGUUGUAAACUGCUUUUAUACGGGAAGAAACCCAUCUACGUGUAGGUGGCUGACGGUACCGUAAGAAUAAGCAUCGGCUAACUCCGUGCCAGCAGCCGCGGUAAUACGGAGGAUGCAAGCGUUAUCCGGAAUCAUUGGGUUUAAAGGGUCCGUAGGUGGAUUGGUAAGUCAGAGGUGAAAGCCUGCAGCUCAACUGUAGAACUGCCUUUGAUACUGCUAGUCUUGAAUUAUUGUGAAGUGGUUAGAAUAUGUAGUGUAGCGGUGAAAUGCAUAGAUAUUACAUAGAAUACCGAUUGCGAAGGCAGAUCACUAACAAUAUAUUGACACUGAUGGACGAAAGCGUGGGGAGCGAACAGGAUUAGAUACCCUGGUAGUCCACGCCGUAAACGAUGUCUACUAGCCGUUGGGACUCUUGAAGUCUUAGUGGCGCAGCUAACGCACUAAGUAGACCGCCUGGGGAGUACGGCCGCAAGGUUAAAACUCAAAUGAAUUGACGGGGGCCCGCACAAGCGGUGGAGCAUGUGGUUUAAUUCGACGCAACGCGAAGAACCUUACCUGGCCUUGACAUGCAGAGAACUUUCCAGAGAUGGAUUGGUGCCUUCGGGAACUCUGACACAGGUGCUGCAUGGCCGUCGUCAGCUCGUGUCGUGAGAUGUUGGGUUAAGUCCCGUAACGAGCGCAACCCCUAUCCCUAGUUGCUAGCAGUUCGGCUGAGAACUCUAGGGAGACUGCCGGUGACAAACCGGAGGAAGGUGGGGAUGACGUCAGGUCAUCAUGGCCCUUACGGCCAGGGCUACACACGUGCUACAAUGGUGCGCACAGAGGGCUGCAAACCCGCGAGGGGGAGCCAAUCUCACAAAACGCAUCGUAGUCCGGAUCGCAGUCUGCAACUCGACUGCGUGAAGUCGGAAUCGCUAGUAAUCGUGAAUCAGAAUGUCACGGUGAAUACGUUCCCGGGCCUUGUACACACCGCCCGUCAAGCCAUGGAAGCUGGGAGUGCCUGAAGUCCGUCACCGCA
rnacentral:rRNA from 1 species